GAUGAGCUUAAAGAAGAUGGAACAUGAGGGAUCAAGUGAUUGUUGUUUGGAGAUAUUGAAGACAUGGUGGUAGAAGUUCAUGAAUAAAAUGAGGAACAUUAAUAAAUUAACCAUGCAAAUUGUUUGCACACUGUUUGGUCAUGAGAUGGCGACCAGACAGAGCCAUCCAAUAAUGACAAUGCAUAUUGAAUGUUUAUUCUCAAUUGAAAUUAGCAUCAAAUGGAGCUUUUGUGGAGCAACACUAAUGCCUAUUAUCCAAAAGGGCAUGAUUGAUCAAGUGUGUAUACUUGCUGUAAGGAG
rnacentral:lncRNA from 1 species